rnacentral:rRNA from 1 species
AGAAUCAACGCUGGCGGCGUGCCUAACACAUGCAAGUCGAACGAGAAAGUGGGAGCAAUCCCAUGAGUAAAGUGGCGCACGGGUGAGUAACACGUGACUAACCUACCCUUGAGUGGGGGAUAACCUAGGGAAACCUGGGCUAAUACCGCAUAAUACCUACGGGUCAAAGGAGCAAUUCGCUUUAGGAGGGGGUCGCGGCAGAUUAGUUAGUUGGCGGGGUAAUGGCCCACCAAGACAGUGAUCUGUAUCCGGCCUGAGAGGGCGCACGGACACACUGGAACUGAAACACGGUCCAGACUCCUACGGGAGGCAGCAGUGGGGAAUUUUGCGCAAUGGGGGAAACCCUGACGCAGCAACGCCGCGUGGAGGAUGAAGCCCCUUGGGGCGUAAACUCCUUUCGAUCGGGAAGAUAAUGACGGUACCGGAAGAAGAAGCCCCGGCUAACUUCGUGCCAGCAGCCGC